rnacentral:rRNA from 1 species
CACAUGCAAGUCGAGGGGUAGCAGGGUAGCAAUACCGCUGACGACCGGCGCACGGGUGAGUAACACGUAUCCAACCUUCCCAUAACUCAGGGAUAGCCUUUCGAAAGAAAGAUUAAUACCUGAUAGUACUUUUUCAAGGCAUCUUGAGAAGUUAAAGAUUUAUUGGUUAUGGAUGGGGAUGCGUUCCAUUAGAUAGUUGGUGAGGUAACGGCUCACCAAGUCUUCGAUGGAUAGGGGUUCUGAGAGGAAGGUCCCCCACAUUGGUACUGAGACACGGACCAAACUCCUACGGGAGGCAGCAGUGAGGAAUAUUGGUCAAUGGGCGAGAGCCUGAACCAGCCAAGUAGCGUGAAGGAAUGAAGGUCCUAUGGAUUGUAAACUUCUUUUAUAGUAGAAUAAAGUGAUCCACGUGUGGAUUUUUGUAUGUAUACUAUGAAUAAGGAUCGGCUAACUCCGUGCCAGCCGCGGC